UUCAAACUUGCACAAUAGAAAUAUUGGAAAAAAAAUUAAAAAAAUAUUGUGACGUGGUAAUCACGUUAAAAUAAAAAAAUAAAAAAAUAUGAUGUGAAAAAAAUAUUGUGACGUGGUAAUCACGUCGCAAUUUCAAAAUUUAAGUUGUGACGUAAAAAUCACUUUGCAAUGUUAAAUUCAAAAAUAAAAAAAUAUUUAGGAGAAAAAGUUGUGAAGUGAAAAUCAC
rnacentral:lncRNA from 1 species